GAGUAGAGUGGCGAACGGGUGAGUAACGCGUAGAUAAACAACCCUCAAGUCUGGGAUAACUUUUCGAAAGGAAAGCUAAUACCGGAUAAUAGAAGGAGUCGGGUGGCUUCUUCUUGAAAGUUCCGGCGCUUGAGGACGUGUCUGCGUCCCAUUAGCUAGUUGGUAAGGUAAAGGCUUACCAAGGCGACGAUGGGUAGCGGGUUUGAGAGGAUGAUCCGCCACACUGGCACUGAGACACGGGCCAG
rnacentral:rRNA from 1 species